ACAAACAAAAGAAAAUCUUAAAAGUAAAACAAACCCAUUCAUCAUUCUUUCCAUUCAUUCACUCACAAUUCACUUCGCAUUUCCAACAAACCCUUCAACCCAAAUCCAAUACCAACAUCACUCUUCUUAUUCUCUUCCAUCAUUCAACCUUUUUUUCUCUAUAAAAUCCCUCACCCUUUCACCCAAUAUCAUACACAACACACCUAUCAUAUAGGUUGGUUGAAUGUUGUGAACAUACAAAAAAUGGGUUCAUGCCGUGUUUUUAUGAUCCAAGUCUUCAUACUGGUUUGUCUUUUGGUUCAAUGCUUUGAUGCCAAAGUGCAUGCUGAUCUUAAUGCUGCAACACUUGUUGUAGAUGCUUCUCAGGCUUCUGGUAGGAGAAUACCAGAUACUCUUUUUGGAUUAUUCUUUGAGGAAAUCAAUCAUGCU